rnacentral:lncRNA from 1 species
UUGAGAGAGGCACAUAUGAACUCGAGUCUUUGGGAGGUUGAUAAGGUCAUCAAGAAGACCUUAUCAAUGGAGACAAAAUCAAGUUGCAAAAAAAUAAAAGCCAAUAAUUUUCACAUGAUUUUCAUGGUACCUCGACGUUAAAAUGCUGGGGAUCUGAAAGCAGAACAUCAGUUUUAACUCUCAUGUGGAUAGAAACAAAAGAAGGCCCAUUCACGUUCUUCGAUUACCCAUUUUCCGGCUUCUCGCAAUCAUCUUUCUCCGUUAGGACCAGGGUUUGUGUUGCUGCUCUAAAUUCUCCUUCAAAUUUCAUACUACAAUUUUUUCCUGUAACCAUGCAACAUAUCUCCUUUUUAUCUGGAUGCUAACUCAUUAACAUUAGAAAACAAAUAUUAAAACUCAUUUACAAAAUAACCAAAACCUAACACAGUUUACCAAAAUCAAUCAAUACAGGUGAACAAGAGGAACCUAAAUUAAUCAAAAAAUAUAAAAACCAAAAAACCAAUGGAGUUACAUAUGAAAAACACGCCGACCGAAUCCCACACCAACUUAUUAAUCAGUAAGAAAAAGAAUAUCUUCUAAUCAUAGAAUUAUGAACCCUCACGCUAUCAUACUUGGACUUAAAAAAGGAAAAUAGGUUAAGAAAAUUGAAUGUACACAAGCAGAGUGAAAAAUGCCGAAUAAAAAUUACUAUCUUUGACAUAAACAUUACUUAGCUAUAAAAUAGUUUUUCUGCUUCUCACUAACAUUGAUCUCCAUGUUUUGGAGCGUUUUUUGCUGGCCAUGGAGAUUCCUUUUAUAUUUACAUCAACGCAUAUCUACCAAAUAA